ensembl:miRNA
UGGUGGCUGCCCUCAGGGAGAGCCGAUUCCCCCAGCUCCCUUGGGCUGCAGCACCCUCC